GGUCCAAGCAUUGAGGGAGUUUUGGUAGGCAAAUCCGCCAAAACAAAUCCUAAGAUGUGAAGGGGAGCGAAAUAAAAGUAGCGAAGUAGCUGAAUUCAAGCUGCCAAGAAAAGUCUCUACCGAGGUUAAAGGUGCCCGUACCGCAAACCGACACAGGUAGGUGAGGAGAGAAUCCUAAGGCCAGCGAGAGAACCCUUGUUAAGGAACUCGGCAAAAUGACCCCGUAACUUCGGGAUAAGGGGUGCCUCGGUAGGGUGAAAGCCCGAGGAGGCCGCAGAGAAUAGGCCCAAGCGACUGUUUACCAAAAACAUAGGUCUCUGCUAAGUCGAAAGACGAAGUAUAGGGGCUGACGCCUGCCCGGUGCUGGAAGGUUAAGGGGAAGUGUUAGAGAAAUCGAAGCACAGAACUUAAGCCCCAGUAAACGG
rnacentral:rRNA from 1 species